GUGUUAAAAAUUCAGGAAAAAAUGUCUCCACAGUCAUAGUGAGCCAUGCCAGAGCAAGCUGCUGGCCCAAACCAUUACCCGGCCUCUGUGUCCGAAGCUACUGACACUAAAGUGGGUCGUGUAGCU
rnacentral:snoRNA from 1 species